rnacentral:lncRNA from 1 species
UUUUCUACUUCUUCUUCUUCUUCUUUGUCUUUUUCUCCUUUUUCUUCUGAUUCGAUUUUUCUUCUUCUUCAGUUUUUCUUCUUUCUCUCUUUCUUCUUUAUCUCCUUUGAUUCUUAUUCUUCCUCUUCUUUUAUUUUUCGUGUUUAAUUCUUGUUCUUCUUUUUCUUCUUCAGUUUUUCUUCUUUCUCUCUUUCUUCUUUAUCUCCUUUGAUUCUUAUUCUUCCUCUUCUUUUAUUUUUCGUGUUUAAUUCUUGUUCUUCUUUUUCUUCUUCAGUUUUUCUUUUUCUUUUUUUCUUCUUCAAUUCUUCUUCUUCUUCUAUUCCAUCUCCAAAGACAGAAAUGGAGAAA